GACGAACGCUGGCGGCGUGCCUAAUACAUGCAAGUCGUACGCUUCUUUUUCCACCGGAGCUUGCUCCACCGGAAAAAGAAGAGUGGCGAACGGGUGAAUAACACAUGGGUAACCUGCCCAUCAGAAGGGGAUAACACUUGGAAACAGGUGCUAAUACCGUAUAACAAUCGAAACCGCAUGGUUUUGAUUUGAAAGGCGCUUUCGGGUGUCGCUGAUGGAUGGACCCGCGGUGCAUUAGCUAGUUGGUGAGGUAACGGCUCACCAAGGCCACGAUGCAUAGCCGACCUGAGAGGGUGAUCGGCCACAUUGGGACUGAGACACGGCCCAAACUCCUACGGGAGGCAGCAGUAGGGAAUCUUCGGCAAUGGACGAAAGUCUGACCGAGCAACGCCGCGUGAGUGAAGAAGGUUUUCGGAUCGUAAAACUCUGUUGUUAGAGAAGAACAAGGAUGAGAGUAACUGUUCAUCCCUUGACGGUAUCUAACCAGAAAGCCACGGCUAACUACGUGCCAGCCGCCGCGGUAAUAC
rnacentral:rRNA from 1 species